UAAAAAGAUUUAGUAUCAUGUUUCUCCUUGUUUACCAGAUAGUUGUUUUUUUUUUGUUGUAAGUCACACGGAUGACGUUUUCUAUUAUUUUAUUUAAAUUGCACGGAUUAUGUUAGAUACUUUCAAUUGCGAAUCAUUAGAUUAAAAUAUUUACCUAUGAACAUUGGUAUAUAAUAAUUGUACACAAAAAUCUGAUUGGUAUAUUUCAGAAGCCAAAAUAGAGAUUCCUAUAUAACUACUAUGCUACUCUAGGUACUCGUGGCAUCAUUGAUUUAAAAGAAUAUGAUAAGAAAUUUCAACUAUUUGGCUCACAGAGUAAUACUCUAUUAGAGUAUUAUUCUAUGAUUUGGCCGCCCCAAGUAGUUGGGAUUAAGGCAAGGACAAAGAAGAAAGAUGAUAAGAAGUUACAAUAUUUUUUAUAUAAGAAAAUUUAUUACGACUAGUAAAGUGUUUUAUUUAAAAUAAUGACUUAUGUUCGGUAAAAACGAGGUCAGUUUUAAUAUUCGGGGUGGUCUCCGUGUAUUAAUAGAGAAUUCAGAUUUACUCAUACAUGCAACGUUUAUCCGACUUAACUAUAUUAAUAUGUUUUACACAAAUAAUAAUAAUUAUUUUUGAAUCGUUUCUAUAAUAAUACGAUUCCUAUUAUUUAUGAGUUCUAGAGAGAUACCAGUCGCACGCGUAUGUGUUAAACCGGUUGUAUUGCGGAAUACAACUUCAGAUAUCCUCGUGUACUUUUUUGAAUAAACACUUGUUGUCGUAUUUCAACGCAAGAAGAUAAUAAAACAUUAGUGGGAUGUGCCGGAUUACGUAGAACCAUUGACCGGAUAUUGUAAUAGGCACUUGUAUUGUACGAAAAGGAUACUUGCGGUUAGACCAAAAGAAAGCGAACCGACGUGAUGGUUUUAGUAAUCACGACUACUAAAAAUACUCACCUUUGAUCAUAUUAAACAUUUAUAUUUACCGCUGUUACAAUGCUCAAUAUUAUAAAUAAUGUAUUGAAAAUAGGAGUACAUCACGCGAUUAAACUAUACUCAAUGAAAAUUCAUUCGAUACAUAAAAAUGAUUUGCCAGUUAUAAGUUGUAACAUUUAAUUGCACUUUGUU